UUUUCCGGGAUAAAAACAACCUACCCUAUAUGUUAACCCGGAGUAUCAGCUACCACUGUAUCAAAUUUCAUUUAAAUCCGUUCAGUAG